AUUGAACGCUGGCGGCAGGCCUAACACAUGCAAGUCGAACGAGUGGCGGACGGGUGAGUAAUGUCUGGGAAACUGCCUGAUGGAGGGGGCUAACUACUGGAAACGGUAGCUACUACCGCAUAACAUCAGAUGUGCCCAGGUGGGUUUAGCUAGUUGGUGGGGUAACGGCUCACCAAGGCGAAGCUCCCUAGCUGGUCUGAGAGGAUGACCAGCCACACUGGAACUGAGACACGGUCCAGACUCCUACGGGAGGAAGCAGUGGGGAAUAUUGGGCAAUGGGCGCAAGCCUGAUGCAGCCAUGCCGCGUGUAUGAAGAAGGCCUUCGGGUUGUAAAGUACUUUCAGUGGGGAGGCGUUACCCGCAGAAGAAGCACCGGCUAACUCCGUGCCAGCAGCCGCGGUAAUAC
rnacentral:rRNA from 1 species